GGUGUCUCCACGUGGGUAUCUGUGUGCUAAUUGAGCUCGAGAUAUGAUGACUUGAGUAAACAGUAUUGAAUGCUAGUGCUUACUACAUGACAACAUAGUGUAGACAAUAAGAAAUGAAGGGAUUUGUGUGCAGAGUUUUGCAGUGACAGUUCAACAAAUCUGAUUCACGUGUCAAAAAGGGGAAUAGAGUUUAUAGUUUAGGGAAAUGGGUGUGCUUUUUAAUAAAUGGUGUUAUGGUCUUGAAAUUUUAGUUCAAAAACCUGGUUAUAGUGUUUAAGCAGUUGAGUAAAAACUGUAAUAGAACAUUUUAAAUAAUAAUCACAAACUUUCUGGUUUAAAAACAGCUUCAGGUUGAAUGAUCCAUCUCCAAAUUCCCUGAGUUAGAAUCACAGUGCUCAGUGUUCAUGUGUGUCCACACUACAGAGUGUAAAACAUGCCCAAAUGACAAUAAUAUAUAGCCUUCUCACAUUAAAAUAAGACAAGUUAUGCAAGCACAUUCAUUGGUCAUACACAGAUCAUGGAAGUCAUUUGCCCCCACCCUCCCUCCCAUCCGUCGUGUCCUUUGUUCUGAAAGUCAUGUGGUUUUCUGGAAAGAGAGCAGACCCCGGAUAUAUCUCUGUAGCACACAGAUCCUUUCUGAUUGGCUGACAUGUGUCUUGCGCAACAGGAGUACACUUAUAUAAAUCCUGUGCAGUGGCAAAAGACUCCAGCAAGAGAAUUCAAGAACACAAAACACAUCUCUAAUAUAAUAUCCUGAAGAAAACUGAUUGGAACACAGGUUUCCUCAGUUCCUCUAUCUUGUACUAUGGGUGUGGCAGACGAACUGUGUGAAGAGCUCUUCCGUUGGAUUGAUCAGCAGAAGCGAUGUGCAGAUCAUCUCAAGGCUUUGGCCACCGAGCUGGAGGACAUGAGGGAGGUGAUGACUGCAGGCCAGUUGGUGGGAAACACAGCAACUGUGCUUGGGUCUGCCGCUCUUGUUGGGACAGGCAUUGCAACAAUUCUGACUGGAGGCCUGGCUGCACCCUCGCUGGCACUGGCAGCUGGAAUCACAGCCGGAGUGGGUACUGCAACUAGUCUUACACUUACGCUUGUGGAGAAAUGGAAAUCCAGUAAAACAAUGGAAAAUGCAGAGAAGACUGCUGACAAAAUCAAACAGAUUCAGAACAAUAUCGAAAGGCUCCAGAAGAAACUCCAGAAGGAGUGUGAGAGUGAAGGGUUUGAAGUGUCAUCGUCCGAUGACGUGCAGUGUGAAAUCACAGCGAGGAUCCUGAGAGCCUUGGCCAAACACAGUGGUAGAGAUCUGCCUCUCAGUCGCCUAAGACACCUCUUGAGAAGUGAUGGCAUGUAUACACAUCACAGAUAUCCAAAGUUUAUUCUACACGGUGCAUUCUUCUACACCGUCAGUUCUUUCAUAGCAUACCUUGGAUAUUCUACCAUCUUUCUGAAAACAGCAGCAACAAAAGGACAAAAAUAUUAUGCUCCAUUUCUUGUGAAAGCUACUAAAGAAAUGGCUGAUAUUUCAAUGAAAACUGUGUUAAAGGGAACAGGCCAGGCCGCAGGAGGAAUCUUUGGGCUGAUAUUAACAGUUCCUGAUCUGAUUGAUAACUGUGAAGAACUGAUUAAAAACAAACAUCAGACUGAAGCUAGCACAUAUCUGAAGACAAAAGCUGAUGAAAUCCGUGAGACCGUGAAGAAAUUUAAAAAGCCAUUGAAUGAAUUGCAAGACAUGCUCAAUCAAAUCCCUGAAAUGGAGUGUCACAUUGAUUUGGCUCAGGAGAUGUUUGGAUCUCAAAUAUACACUCGAGGCUCCAUCUGUAUGGAGUAUAAACAGAGCCAAAAGCAGGACAGGAAGACACAGGGGUUUAUUCUCCUAUGCACAAAAGACAUAGGAGUAACUAAGAAUUGUUCCACAGGCAAAGACAAAUCAGGUGACAACAAGAACAAAAGACGGAAGAAGAAGACUACUUCAACUGUAGACAGGAGCCUUAACCAGGAGAGGAAACCUGCUUUUCAGAAGGAGCUCCAAGAAAUGAUGGAAGAUGUGGAAAACGUUAAUUCUGAUCUGAUGUUCUUCACAGAGACAUGGUUGAACAGGAACUCGCCCAGCAUUAACUUAGAUAGAUAUAAGUCUUUCCGGGUUGAUCGUGAUGCACGGCUUACUAAGAAAAGUAAAGGAGGGGGAUUGAUGGUGCUUGUGAACAAGGCUUGGGCGACUGAUGUGGAGGUGGAAAACAUCAUGAUUACUCCAGAUUAUGAGUUAAUGGUUGUGUCCAUUAUACCACAUGACCACCCUGAGGAUGCGCCACCACUUACCUUCAUCCAUGUGUAUAUCCCUCCAAGAACUAAUAUGACUCGAGCUGCCAUUGACAUCGCUGCUGUUUACUAUGAUGUUCUGGAGCAGUAUCCUGGUGGUCCUGUUUUCUUGUUGGGUGAUUUCAACCACUGUGACAUCACUCAUCUCUUAGACCUGGAGCAAUAUGUCACAUGCCCAACCAGAAACAGUAACACCCUGGAUCAAUGCUAUGGGAAUGUGCCAGAGGCUUAUAGAUCUGAAUGCAGACCCCCGCUUGGCCGGUCAGACCACAAUGUCAUUCAUUUGAUUCCUAAAAAGAAGUCAGAUGGAAGUGACCCUUCUAAAGAUGAGAAGUGUAGACAUGACAGUACCAAAUCCAGAAAGCAAUGAGAGGCUGCGCAACAGUUCUCUUUUGUUUUCAUGUAGCACACCAGGGUCCUAGAGGAACAUCGGUUAGUUUCACUGUGUGCUGUGCUAGUAUAUGAUAGCUUGUUUCGUCCGAUAGAUGUAGGUGGUGUCUAACUACUUUCAAUUAACUUACUGAGUAUAAAACCUCAUUGAGAAAGAAGAAGACAGGAUAAUAGUGGGGAAUGGCAUGAAAACUGGCACAACAAUGAGGAACAACAAGAGGGAAAAAAAUUCUCCUUUGAAUGAAGAAAAUUAAAUGCUUGAUAUGCUUAAAAGUCCCCUUAAGUGCUUGGAAACACACAGAGUUAUUCUGUGUGGUGACGUAAUUUCGACUGAAACAGGAAGAGAUGGUGGGACAUAUCGAGCAGCCCGCCCGGGAGGCCAGGAUGUUAGUUGAAGGAAAUGCCUUGUAUACUAAAUCCCCAGGAAGAAUGGUUGAGUGGGUUCACUGUAAACCAUUCACCUUCUUGAACUCUCUCUGUCUACUUUUAUUUGAUAUUGAUAAACACACACCAGUUAGUAUCUAACUUUGAGUGCAAUCCUCAUCAAAAAUNGUUGGGGUGGGGGGGGGGGGUUAGGUAACAGUUAACAUUUAUAGACACUAAACAGUCUCUAAGUAAUCAUUCAUGCUACAGUAUGUAGACUGAUCAUGUUAUGCCACAAGGCAUUCAAAGAGGGUGAGUAAUGUCCUCAAAUCUAUUUAAAAGGACAAGUAUAUACAAUAAAUGUACUCUAAACAUAAGCA
ensembl:lncRNA